GUACUCACUUUGGCAAUACAUAUAUGAAAAUUGGAACAAUACCCAGAAGAUUAGCAUGUCCCCUGGGAAAGAAUAGCAUACAAAUUUGUAAAGUAUUCCAUAUUUUU
ensembl:snRNA U6 U6 spliceosomal RNA